rnacentral:rRNA from 1 species
UACAGAGGGGGCAAGCGUUAUUCGGAAUUAUUGGGCGUAAAGGGCGCGUAGGCGGCCUUUCAAGUGACGGGUGAAAGCCCUCGGCUUAACCGAGGAACUGCCUGUCAGACUGGAAGGCUUGAGACCGGGAGAGGUGAGUGGAAUUCCCAGUGUAGCGGUGAAAUGCGUAGAUAUUGGGAGGAACACCAGUGGCGAAGGCGGCUCACUGGACCGGUACUGACGCUGAGGAGCGAAAGCCAGGGGAGCAAACGGG